GGACGUGAAGGCAAUCUGGCUGCGACAUCUGUCACCCCAUUGAUUGCCAUGGUUGAUUCUGAUUUGGCUGAUCUGGCUCGGCAGGCGUCCCCUUCCUCCCUCACUGCUCCACGGGAGUCCCUCCUGAAGCUGUGCACUCUGUUGAAGAGGAUGACCUUCCUCGGUAGAGGAGGACUGUUCUUUGUUCUUCCGUCAAGGGUAUAUGAGUAGCUGCGCUCCCUGCUAGAGCCUCCAAACAAGCUCUCUAGGUUCAUGUGUAGGAGAAUGUAGGGUCAAGCUUCCAAGACUCCAGACACAUCCAAGUGAGGCCCUGCAUGUGGCAGUCUGCCUUCAAAA
ensembl:misc_RNA 7SK 7SK RNA